rnacentral:rRNA from 1 species
UACGUAGGGGGCGAGCGUUGUCCGGAUUUAUUGGGCGUAAAGAGCUCGUAGGCGGUUUGGUAAGUCUGGUGUGAAAUCUCCACGCUCAACGUGGAGGGGCCACUCGAUACUGCCAUGACUCGAGUCCGGUAGAGGAGUGUGGAAUUCCCGGUGUAGCGGUGAAAUGCGCAGAUAUCGGGAGGAACACCCGUAGCGAAGGCGGCACUCUGGGCCGGAACUGACGCUGAGUCACGAAAGCGUGGGGAGCGAACAGG